GAUGAACGCUGGCGGCGUGCUUAACACAUGCAAGUCGAACGGUGAAGGCGGAGCUUGCUCUGCUGGAUCAGUGGCGAACGGGUGAGUAACACGUGAGCAAUCUGCCCCUGACUCUGGGAUAAGCGCUGGAAACGGCGUCUAAUACUGGAUACGAGCUGCGAAGGCAUCUUCAGCAGCUGGAAAGAACUUCGGUCAGGGAUGAGCUCGCGGCCUAUCAGCUGGUUGGUGAGGUAACGGCUCACCAAGGCGUCGACGGGUAGCCGGCCUGAGAGGGUGACCGGCCACAAUGGGACUGAGACACGGCCCAGACUGCUACGGGAGGCAGCAGUGGGGAAUAUUGCACAAUGGGCGAAAGCCUGAUGCAGCAACGCCGCGUGAGGGACGACGGCCUUCGGGUUGUAAACCUCUUUUAGCAGGGAAGAAGCGAAAGUGACGGUACCUGCAGAAAAAGCGCCGGCUAACUACGUG
rnacentral:rRNA from 1 species